rnacentral:rRNA from 1 species
UACGUAGGGUGCGAGCGUUGUCCGGAAUUAUUGGGCGUAAAGGGCUCGCAGGCGGUCUGUCGCGUCGGGAGUGAAAACUCAGGGCUUAACCCUGAGCCUGCUUCCGAUACGGGCAGACUAGAGGUAUGCAGGGGAGAACGGAAUUCCUGGUGCAGCGGUGAAAUGCGUAGAUAUCUGGAGGAACACCGGUGGCGAAGGCGGCAUCCUGGACCAACACUGACGCUGAGGAGCGAAAGCCAGGGGAGCAAACGGG